rnacentral:misc_RNA from 1 species
UGAUUUCCGACAAGUCUUUCUUCAUUUUUCGAGCAAGAAGCGGAACUACAGGGAUGAAAUGAAAAGUGUUUCUUAUGAUUACGCCCAACAGCCCACUUGAGCAAUUUGAAAUAAUCCCAUUGAUUCCUAUGAAGAUAGGAGACUUGUAUUUCUCAUUCACAAAUUCAUCUUUGUUUAUGCUUCUAACUCUCAGUUUGGUCCUACUUCUGUUUUAUUUUGUUACUAAAAAGGGAGGAGGAAAGUUAGUACCAAAUGCUUGGCAAUCCUUGGUAGAGCUUAUUUAUGAUUUCGUGCUGAACCUGGUAAACGAACAAAUAGGUGGUCUUUCCGGAAAUGUUAAACAAAAGUUUUUCCCUUGCAUCUUGGUCACUUUGACUUUUUUGUUAUUUUGUAAUCUUCAGGGUAUGAUACCUUAUAGCUUCACAGUUACAAGUCAUUUUCUCAUUACUUUGGGUCUCUCAUUUUCUCUUUUUAUUGGCAUUACUAUAGUGGGAUUUCAAAAAAAUGGGCUUCAUUUUUUAAGCUUCUUAUUACCCGCAGGAGUCCCGCUGCCGUUAGCACCCUUUUUAGUACUCCUUGAGCUAAUCUCUUAUUGUUUUCGCGCAUUAAGCUUAGGAAUACGUUUAUUUGCUAAUAUGAUGGCCGGUCAUAGUUUAGUAAAGAUUUUAAGUGGGUUCGCUUGGACUAUGCUAUGUAUGAAUGAUCUUUUCUAUUUCAUAGGGGAUCUUGGUCCUUUAUUUAUAGUUCUUGCAUUAACCGGUCUGGAAUUAGGUGUAGCUAUAUUACAAGCUUAUGUUUUUACGAUCUUAAUCUGUAUUUACUUGAAUGAUGCUAUAAAUCUCCAUUAAAGUGGUUCUUUUUUUAUAAUUGAACAAAAGCGAGGAGCGGAAGCCAGUCGACGGAGAGGAGCGGAUAUGAAAACGAAGGCUAGAUUUUCUUUUGUCUCUUCCCCGACCAAUUCAUACCUUUUAGUGAGUAGUCGUCCAAUUCCGGCCGGUAUUUGCUCCCUUUCUCCGGUCUUACUAAUUUGUAAAGAUUUGAGAUUCCAGG